rnacentral:rRNA from 1 species
UACGUAGGUGGCGAGCGUGGUCCGGAUUUACUGGGCGUAAAGGGAGCGUUGGCGGACUUUUAAGUGAGAUGUGAAAUACUCGGGCUCAACUUGAGUGCUGCAUUUCAAACUGGAAGUCUAGAGUGCAGGAGAGGAGAAUGGAAUUCCUAGUGUAGCGGUGAAAUGCGUAGAGAUUAGGAAGAACACCAGUGGCGAAGGCGAUUCUCUGGACUGUAACUGACGCUGAGGCUCGAAAGCGUGGGGAGCAAACAGG